rnacentral:lncRNA from 1 species
CCUAAUACAAUAGCCACUAGCCAUAUGUGCCUACUGAAUAUUUAAAAUAUGGCUAGUGUGACUGGGAGCUGAAGUUUCCAUUUUAUUUAGACUUAACUAGCUCAAAUUUAAAUAGCCACAUGUAACUUAUGGCUUGGUAUUGGACAGCAUAGAACAUCUAUAGAAAAUCAAAAGCAGUGGGUAAAAAAUGAGGAAUCAGAAGAAGGGUCUCAUUCUGUUGCCCAGGCUGGAGUGUGGUGGCAUGAUCAUAGUGUAGCAGGACAAGCCACGGACAAAACCUCUCAGACACGGCCAAAUAAAGCCAAAUCCUUCCUUAACCCACUGUCUGAGAGCUCGGUUUUUGAGACGUGAGUCUGAUGAAGCUCCUGGCCAAAUAAAUUCUUCAGAGAGCUGGGUUCUUGAGGCGCUAGUCUGCCGAAGCUCCCGGACGUUGAGACGUGAGUCUGCCGAAGCUCCUGGCAAAAUAAAGCCAAAUCCUUCCUUAACCUGGUGUCUGAGAGGUUUUGUCCACGGCUCGUCCUGCUACAGUAGCUCACUGCAAAUUCAAACUUCUGUGCUCAAGCAAUCCUCCUGCCUCAUCCUCCUGAGUAGCUGAGACUACAGGCAUGUGCCAAGUACACCUGGCUAAUUUUUAAAUUUUCUUUGGAGAGAGGGUCUUGCUAUGUUGCCUAGGCUGGUCUCAAACUCCUGGCCUUAAGCCAUCCUCCCACCUUGGUCACUCAGAGUGCUAGGAUUAUAGAUGUGCAUCACCACGCCUGUCCUGAACUUCAAGUUUCAAGGCACAUCUCUGUUCUUAGAGAAAAAAUUAAAAGACUAUAUAUCAAAAUGUUAACUUCAGGUGGUGUGAUUGUGA